UACGGAGGAUGCAAGCGUUUAUCCGGAAUGAUUGGGCGUAAAGCGUCCGCAGGUGGCUAUGUAAGUCUGCUGUUAAAGAGCAAGGCUCAACCUUGUAAAGGCAGUGGAAACUACAUGGCUAGAGUGCGUUCGGGGCAGAGGGAAUUCCUGGUGUAGCGGUGAAAUGCGUAGAGAUCAGGAAGAACACCGGUGGCGAAAGCGCUCUGCUAGGCCGCAACUGACACUGAGGGACGAAAGCUAGGGGAGCGAAUGGG
rnacentral:rRNA from 1 species